UGAGUGUAAACACAUGGCUCUGAGUGUAAGCACCUUUUCACAAGAAACGUUCUUGUGUUCAAAUGACCGUCAGUGCGAAAUAGCUAGAAAGAUUUCGUAUUUCAACUUGGCUGCACCACUGCGUCGACCUGUGGCUUGCGGAAAAACACCGGAAAGUGUCUAGCUUACCGGAAUGUUACAAGAACAAGAAUGGUUACAUGACAUUCGGCCAUGUGACAUUUGUUGUUUAUAGAUUUUUCGCCCACACAUCGACCCUGGACAGAUAACAGGUAGUCAGUCCCCUUGUCAGAAAUACAGCAUACAUACACAUUUGUUUUGUGUUUGUUAAAGUCUUUGGUUUACAAAAAAAACCGUGUUAAACCAGUAAGGAAGGUUACGUAACUAAGGUGAAUAAAGAAAGUUGGAUACACAACAUAGAAUGUUUUGAUAUUUUUGUUGCAUUACUUGCGUAUAUUUGGAUAUCAUUCUCACUUAUUAUUUUAGCCACCUAUACAUUAGGCUAUAUAUUCCCCUUUUUCCUCUUUGCAUCUUCAAAGAAAUACACAUAGUCACUUAAUCUGUAUUCAUCUUGCGACUUCUCCUUGGAAGAAGGUGAGAGGGACCCUAGGGGGGACGUAAAGGAGUUGAUGAAAUCCUGUUAAGACAGACAAUCAGAUGGUAUGGCCUCUGAAGACCCCCAAGACCAACUGGAUGAGGCUAUUAAAAAGGCAGAACGCCUUGCCGAGGAGCUCAACCAAGAAAAGGACCCACAAGCCCAACUGGAUGAGGCCAUUAACGAGGCAAAAAGACUGGCUGAGGAGCUCAACCCAGAACGGGAAAAUAAGAAGAAAAAGACAAACAAGCCUCCAGGGAUUAGGUUCAGAUGGAGACAAAGGGAUGAGAGAGGACAGAUUGUUCCUCAAACCAGGAAGGCAACUACAUCCACUUCUGUUGCUCCAAGGGCCAGUACAUCAAGAGCCAGACUAGUGCAACCUUCUGGACCAGUCACUGAGGAGGAAGAAUUGAGACACGGACCAGUGGGUUGGAAUCCACUCCAGUUUUAAACAUUGACGAAGAACAAUACUUCAUAGAGAAAUGAACAUCCUCCUCGCUGACUUAGAAGACCCUGAGUGUUCAAAUCCUGCUGUGCCUGGUGCAUCACACAGUUGGAGUGUGAGGAAGGAACUCACAGGAGGGAGUCCAGGCCUGAGAUUGUAGAUUCUCUGCUGGCUGCAGAGCAUGUUUCUCAGAAGAUCUGUCAGUCAUGCAAUGUGAAAAGGGCCAUUCUGCGAUGUAGAGACUCUGCCGAAACAGCUUUACUGCGAAGGCUGUGAUGUCUCUACACAUGCAAAGUUCCCCCUGCACAACAGAGAGUCCAUGAUCGAGGGGUUCUUCACGCCCCUUCCUCCAACUACAGCCAUAUCUCUCCACAGUGAUGGCAAAUAUACACUUCAUGAACAGGGUCGCUACAAUGUCAUAGUGCCUGUGCUUACCUGCACAACUUGUCUUAGCACCUGGACAGCAAACUUGGCAGAUCUGAUAAAGAAUGGGUACUGGCCUGCCACUGUCAACUGUGACACCAUAUACCAGGUAGAUGUGUUCAGCUCUUUUUUUUGAGGAGCUGGAAGUGUCAGCCCCAGGAAUGUCCCGUCUGGCAUUUAUGCGGAUUUUGGAGCAGCGAACUGACUUUGGCAGGGUAACAAUCAAUUAUACUCAGCUUUACCAAUGUAUGACUUCAGGUUAACUAUGUGUAACAUAACUUUAUUUCCAGUACUAUAACUAUGUUAAAACUUCAGGUCUCUUGCUACAGUAUGUGUUAGCCUCCUGCACCACUGUCCUGCCAUGCACCUUAUCUGUGCCCCUCUUGCAUACAAUAUUUCCUGCUCUUUACAACAUAAGUACUCAUCCUACUUUGCAUUGGCUUUCACCUGCUUUGCUGUCAACACUAUGUACUGGCCCUGCUUUAACUCAAAUCCAGUCAGCCAUAGUGAAUGAUAGUAUGUUUUGUUUAUACUAUUGCUGUAAGUUAUUUUCUAUAUUUUCUAUAUGUAUUUUUCCCUUACCAGAACGGAAUGAUCUGUGGGGACACUUUUCAAAAAAGCUUCUUUGAGUGGACGUACUGCCGCUCUGAAAUUGAUUAGGUCUGUGAUAUACAGGACUUUGACUGCCCAGCCUAUUCACCCAGCAUGCUUGCAGUGUCAGUGGACGGGACCAAGAAGCUGUAUCGAUUCAAAAAAACGGUAUGUAAAAGUAUUCAUAAUUUAUCAAAUAACACCGUCCUCUAUAUAAUUUAAACAAUCCAAACAAGGUUUUGUCUUUUCCUUGUCCAGUGUGAACGUUUUCAAAUGCAGUUUGUAAUGAAAUGAAUGAUCAACAUUGUCAAGUGUCCCACAAUCAGUUGAGUUUGAUUGCUAUUUCAUGUCAUAUAUUUAACGUGUUUCACGUAUCCUUUCAAUCCUUUGAUGACAAAGGAUUCUUUGAUGGCGUUGACAGUCAAUCUCCAACUUCUGAUCUCCAUUGUAGCGAACACAUGGGGUAGCUCAAUGCCCUCAGCUAGAUUUAAAAAAACCUAACCUCUGUCCCGUUAACACCCCCCCCCCCAAACAUAAUUUCUUCCUAUACUCUUCUACUUCAUUGUCUAAGGUUAUGGAAAAGGAGUAUGUGGAGCAUCUCAGUGGACAGCAGCUAAACAGUCAUCAAGGAAAACAAACGACAAACUUUAUGAAGAGGGACUCGAAGUAGCCCGUCUCUCGCCAUGGAAUACUUCUAAGGGGCCUCAACAUGAUGCGUGGAGAGAUAUUUGCGUCCCCACGGUUCUUGCAGAAGGAAUUGUCUGGCAGCAGGAACAUACAAUUCAUGUGAUCUGCAAAUUUUGGCCAUACCUGACCAAAGUUGCCCUUCAUUGUCCAGAGCUCGCCACUCUUCUAAACAUGAAGCCACUUCUUUCUGUCAUGCAUGCAAAGGCACAUCGUUUGAAAUGCGAGGUAAGUUUUUCUUUAUUAAACUGUUCAAAGAGAAUUCCCAGCUUCAGUCCUUUACAAGGCUUCCUAUUUAGAUGUUUGUUAUUCACAUAAUUGCAAUAUCAAGUCUUUAUUUUAAAAACAAAUGUAAAUUAAGAUUAAGUGGGGAGGACAGAAUCAGGAAGGAGCUGGCACAACUCUGGGGGAGGAAGUGGAACAAGGGAACAGCUUCUUGUCGAGGGCUGCAAUCUGUUCCAAGCAAAUGUCCAAAGGAGGUAAACAUUUUGUUUAAGGUUCUAUUCAGCUAUGUUAAUACUUAUCUGGAGUAAGGAGUUCCAUUUGGCAUUUCUAGCAAGAACAGACAUGCUAACCAUCCAGGCUAUGGGGUGGAACAGAAGGAAGAAAAAACCUGAGUAUUGUCCAGAAGAUACUUGAAGGUGUAUUGUGUGGAUCAAUACAUUUAUUUUAGAGGUAUUAUAUCUAUGGAUUUAAUUUAUUUAAAAACAAUUAGUUAUUCUGUUUAGUUUGUCAUAAUUCUCAGACAACAAUUUAAUUUAUUUAAAAACAAUUAGUUAUUCUGUUUAGUUUGUCAUAAUUCUCAGACAACAGCAAAAAUCCAGGAGGAGACCCAGACUCUCAAAGUUUAAGAGUGAUUUGGGUGUUAGGCGAUGAGACUCUGUACAACAGAAGUUCAGCAAUGGGAUAAUACAGGUAAAUGAAUUCAAAAUAUAAAUAAUCGUAAAUGUAACUCUCCUGGACUGUCACCUUGACGUAGUGGAGAGGCUUGUGUACUCCAAUGACUCUGAGAGCUAACCCUCAGAGGGUGUAUUCCACCGACACGUGCAAUCAAGCCGGACGGGUAGGAGGCAGACUAAACAUUCCCUGGUUAUCCAGGUUGGGGCUCAUUCACCGCCCACAUAACAAGUCAUUUGUUACAGAAACCUUCACAGGCCCUAUGUUCCUCCAGGAAGUGAGUGCAACUUCUCAGCAUUGGAGAUGCGUUGUUAAUUUAUAGAUGUACUGUAUUUCAGAGGAAACAAAUGAGAACAUGGGACGGUCCCCAGGUAUUACAGAGAACAAUUGAAGUCCUGUUUCUUAGCAUCAAACAAAGGAAACCGUCAGACAGCUGACCUACACAAAGAAAGUAGCCUUUGGCCGGGUGAUGCUCCUGAGACGGCUGAAGGAGGAAGAGUUAAUUGUCCUAAAGGAAGUCUAGCAGCACUGGGAAAGCCUAAAGAGGCAAUCUGAGAAUGUGCAAGACCUUGCUUCACAUGUGGCAAUUGACCUAACAGGCAAAGCUGGCAAUUGAACCAGUCGGAAGCUGGGAGCAGAGGUCUCUUCUCCCUGCUUCAGAGGAGAGUCAGCAGCCUCAGAAGACACCAGGACUCUGUCAAACUGAUAUACAGAAAAGCUAUGGGCCAAGACACCUCCCUCCUAGAAAAUAACUUCAUAGAUGACCUCCUGGAAGAGGACCUAGAUGACAUCUAUGACAGCAUCCACUACAGCUCUGAUGAUGAGGAAUCUAUCACAGACUGAAGGUGUUCGUUUGGGUGGGUGCAGUUUGCACGGGGUAAAAAGUGAUUCCAUUUGUUUUGCAUAUGUGCUUUAUCUGCCUUCCUAAGGAAAAAUAGUUUGAACAUUUUAUGGAAAAAACGUAUGUUUAUUCCUUGUUGACAAUGUGAUCAUGUGGCACAGAUUUGAGAAGGGCGCUCGUCUGUUACUGCUUUUGCCCGGUUACAUGACCAGGUCCGAUGCACCCCUUUAAAAUGGCCAAUCUGCAGUUGCUACAUCCACUUUUGGAUUCUUUAAGAAUAUAAUUGAUAAAUGCCUCAUGAAUAUAGUUCACCUGCCGUACCCCAUCAGAUCCCAAAAUAGAUCUUUUUUUCUACUCGAAUGUUUGUAAACAAAGUAAAUGUAAACAUACGAGCGUGUGUCAAAACUCAUUCCACAGGUGAGCCGAGUGUCUGCGCUCCUCCCAUAAUUGAUGAAUUAAGGUCACUAAUUAGUAAGGAACUCCCCUCACCUGGUUGGUCAGGUCUUAAUUGAAAGGAAAAAACAAAAACCAGCAGACACUAGACUCUCCAUGGAAUGAGAUUGACACCACUGGACUAUAGCCGCAAAACAUAGUUUAAAUUAUGGUUACAUUUCUCCAUCCCCAUCCCUCUGCUUUUUACAGAACCACUGGUGGGGAGAACGAUUUAUUGUUUCACCUGGUGAUUUCAGAUUUAAACAUUGUUAAACUGUAAUGUACUGUGCUUGUUAGUUUAUAUUAGUAUUGUAUUAGUUUUAAAAAAUUAAAAAAGGUUAUCCUUGUCUUCAA